GGGGGGAUGCCAGAGGGAGCCAAAGUCCUGCUGCUCUCGGUGCACUUGUCAGCUGGUGUUGGAAGACGGGGCUUGCCACAGGACCAGUGGGAAGCUUUAAAAAUGAGCCCGGGGCUUAUUCACCUCAUGGGUGACUCUGCGCGUAGUCAUCUCUCUGGCAGUAAAGACUUGCCAGUAGAAGGGGCUAGACUGGUUGAGUUCUCUGUUUUCAGUAUAAUCCGGCUGACAGGGGAAAUCUUAAUGAUUCUUGUUUUAUCUAUUACUUUUUUCACAAAGUACCCCCAGGCUGUGGACAGAAACCUGACCUGUUGGUUUUCUUCUCUGAAUCCCACAUGAGAUUCUCCAUGGUUCCCAGGAUUUUGUUUUUUAAGCUCCGAGCCUGCAUGGCAGGUGAAGUAAUCACACUGGAAAUGGAUUCGCAUUGAGCAGCCAGCCACGUGAGCCUAGUCAUGUGGUUUUCUGGGAUCUGAGUUACUUGGUGCCUUUUUAGGUUUGCUGAACUCAGAAUGCAGCCCAGGCUGAACUCCGAGUUCUGAAAGUACUAUGGUUACUAUUUGCAGAGAAAUUAAGAUUUUUCUGAAGCUCUUUUCUUGCCUUCCAUUUCUAACAAUUGCUAAUAGUUAGAUGGUGAUUACAAAUAUCAGUCCUGAAGUUUGAUUCUUAUAGCAAUGCAUGAAAUAGGCUUGAUUUUUGCUCUCAUUUUCCAGAUGGGGAAACUGUGGUCCAGAUUCUAAGCAAGUUGCCCAAAGUUGCAUAGCUAAGGUUCUGACCAGCCCAUUUGUACCUGCACAGCUGUCGUGCUCUCUCCUGUGAGUGUGGCACUGGCCCACUCAUGUGCUCACCAGGACACCCAGCUUCACCCCUUCACACACCCAGCAGAGCAAAAACAUGGGAGUCUAGAGUGUCCAACAGCGGCCAGUUUGCCAUCGUGAAGAAGUGCAGGGAGAAGAGCACGGGACUGGAGUAUGCAGCCAAGUUCAUCAAGAAGCGGCAGAGCCGGGCGAGCCGGCGAGGCGUGAGCCGGGAGGAGAUCGAGCGGGAGGUGAGCAUCCUGCGGCAGGUGCUGCACCCCAACGUCAUCACGCUGCACGACGUCUAUGAGAACCGCACCGACGUGGUGCUCAUCCUGGAGCUAGUGUCUGGAGGAGAGCUCUUCGAUUUCCUGGCCCAGAAGGAGUCACUGAGUGAGGAGGAAGCCACCAGCUUCAUUAAGCAGAUCCUGGAUGGGGUGAACUACCUUCACACAAAGAAAAUUGCUCACUUUGAUCUCAAGCCAGAAAACAUUAUGUUGUUAGACAAGAAUAUUCCCAUUCCACACAUCAAGCUGAUUGACUUUGGCCUGGCUCAUGAAAUAGAAGAUGGAGUUGAAUUUAAGAGCAUUUUUGGGACACCAGAAUUUGUUGCUCCAGAAAUUGUGAACUAUGAGCCCCUGGGUCUGGAGGCCGACAUGUGGAGCAUAGGCGUCAUCACCUAUAUUCUCCUGAGUGGAGCGUCCCCUUUCCUGGGAGACACAAAGCAGGAAACGCUGGCGAACAUCACGGCGGUGAGUUACGACUUCGAUGAGGAAUUCUUCAGCCAGACUAGCGAGCUGGCCAAGGACUUCAUCAGGAAGCUUCUGGUGAAAGAGACCCGGAAACGGCUCACCAUCCAAGAGGCUCUCAGACACCCCUGGAUCACGUCCAAAGGCGAAGGCAGAGCCGCCGAACAGCGGAAGGCAGAGCCCACCCCGCUGAAGACCAAGCACCUGAGAGAGUACACCCUCAAGUGCCACUCGAGCAUGCCCCGCAACAACACCUAUGUCAACUUCGAGCGUUUUGCCCGUGUGGUGGAGGACGUGGCUCGGGUGGACCAGGGAUGCCGUGCCCUGGCGGGGGCCCACGACACCAUCCAGGACGACGUGGAGGCCCUGGUCUCCAUCUACAACGAAAAGGAAGCUUGGUACCGAGAGGAGAACGAGCGCACCCGGCACGACCUGUCCCAGCUCAAGUACGAGCUCCGCAAGGUGGAGUCCUGGAAGAAGCUCCUGCGAGAAGACAUCCAGGCCUCAGGGGCCAGCCUCGGAGGCAUGGCCAGGAAAAUGGACCAUCUGCAGGCCCAGUUCGAGGCUCUCAGGCAGGAGCUCUCAACAGACCUGCAGUGGAUCCAGGAACUGGUGGGCAGCUUCCAGCUGGAGAGUGGGAGCUCAUCAGACGGCCCGGGCUCUGUGCUCCACCGGGACACCAGCGAAUCCCUGUCGGAGCUGCUGCACAGGUCGUGCAGCGAGGAAGUCCUGGCCGGCUGGAAGCUCUGAGCACCAGAAUCCAGUCGGGGAUGCAUCCUGGAUGGGUUGCGGAAGCAUGUUCUCAUCCGCCCUGCUGCAGCACCCAGCUAGAAUUAAUUAUCCCGCAGGGGUGUGUGUCUGUAGCACAGCCUUCCACCCCCUCCACGGAAGCCAGAAUCGCAGAGGUGCUGGUUCGUUAUUCAUUCCGCACCUCCUCUCGCCAAUCUGGUUUUCUGAGAGGGCGCUGGCAGGGCAGCCAAGCUGUUAAAAUAAUUAGAGAAUAAAUACCCCUUAGUGCACCCUUCUCCAGAGAGAGGAUGGCUGGCCCUGGGGAGACACUGGAUAAUUGAUUUGUGAUGAUGGACUUGUUCACAUCUCACAUCCUGCCUCCAUGCCGUAUGGAAUGCAGGCCUUGGGCAAUAUUUGAGUUAGGUAGGGAUAACUAAGGUAGCAUGGUGCUUUCCUGCUACAGAAGUGGGGAUUUAAAAUGCACAGAGAAAACACUAUGACCUUCCGUUUGGACUGACUUUUCACUUACGGAGCACUUAUGUCAGUGACCUCACUUGAUGCUUAAAAGAACUCUCUGAGAUAGGCAGCCGGUGGACAACCAGCAAGCCAUGGUGCGCAGGGAGUCCGUGGUCAACCUGGAGAACUUCAAGAGGCAGUAUGUGCGCAG